rnacentral:misc_RNA from 1 species
AACAAGGCGUACCUGCGGACCUGCGGAGGGAUCAUUACCGAGUUUACAACUCCCAAACCCCUGUGAACAUACCUAUACGUUGCCUCGGCGGAUCAGCCCGCGCCCUGUAAAACGGGACGGCCCGCCCGAGGACCCUAAACUCUGUUUUUAGUGGAACUUCUGAGUAAAACAAACAAAUAAAUCAAAACUUUCAGCAAUGGAUCU